CGUGACACAAGCGAAGUGAAAAACUGUGAAGUGUCAUCCGCUGUUAAAAUUGAACACACAAAAUAAAUAAUGCGACUGUAAAAAUUUCAAGUGCCGCCAAAAAAAUAUGAGCAUUCAACAUGUUGUGUAUGUCCGUUGGUGCUAUGAUAAUUGCCGGAGCUCUAGGAUGUAUCGCAAGUUGGCCCUGCCUACUAUCAUGCUGCCUGACACUGCCGUUCCCUAUCCCGUUACUCGUGGUGCAGAUGCCGGGCCGCAAGCCAAGAUGCGACAAGAAGGCACACGACUACAGCGACUCUGACCUCUCUGUCGAAGAAUCUGCAGGCUAAACCAGCCAUUACCUUCGGCUUCGGCGGCACCACUACAGUCCAGUUCUCCACUGUGAAGCACAGAACCUGUGCCGAGAAUGAGAUUGAGUUCUACGGCACCGAUGGCUCCAAAAGACGUCCCGGCUUCAUACGCAAAUUGUGAGUGACCGAUUUGGUUACGAAAUUCCUUGUGCUGCCUGUGUUUUUAACUAUUUUGUUUCUACAAUCUUUAUUUAUACUGAUUAAAAAGAAGAGCAAAGCAA